UACCAGCACCCCGAGUGGUCGGGACGUUUAUUGGGCCUAAAGCAUCCGUAGCCGGUUCUACAAGUCUUCCGUUAAAUCCAGCUGCUUAACAGAUGGGCUGCGGAAGAUACUAUGGAGCUAGGAGGCGGGAGAGGCAAGCGGUACUCGAUGGGUAGGGGUAAAAUCCGUUGAUCCAUUGAAGACCACCAGUGGCGAAGGCGGCUUGCCAGAACGCGCUCGACGGUGAGGGAUGAAAGCUGGGGAGCAAACCGG
rnacentral:rRNA from 1 species